AAAGAAAAAAACCGAAAACAAAGAGGGAUGCAACACGAAGACUUUCCUGGAGGUCACCUAUCCUAGUACUACUCUCGCCCAAGCACACUUAACUGUGGUGUUCUGAUAGGAUCAAGUGCAUUAGUGCUGGUAUGAUCGCAUCAGUUACUACAUGCAAUGCAAUCGUAUCUAUUAUUUUUUGAAGACUUUAUGAUCCAUUUGCCGUGGGUCCCACCAGCUAUGUAGGAAUACCCAAUCUUGUUUAUAAGAGCUUUGAUACAUCCAAAAUAUUCGAAAACAAUGUUGGAACGUAUAAGUUUUGCCCAGUAAUAUAGCAAAGAUCACGAAAAGGCCACAAAAAGUACAUUAAGGUAAAAAUUUAGAGUAGGAAACAAAAACAAUAGGAGAAUUCCAUUUUCCUUCCUCAAUCAUCGGAGAGUUCUUUUUGGGCUUUCCAAAAAGGUAUCACAUGCCAAGUUUGGCCUCACGGUCUAAAAGUUAUAGAGUCAUACAUUUUUAACAAAAAAGAGGGAUUUAACACGAGGACUUUCCGAGAGGUAACCCAUCCUAGUAGUACACUCGCCCAAGCACCCUUAACUACGGAGUUCUAAUGGGAUACGGUGCAUUAGUGCUCGUAUGAUCGCAUGUGUUACUACAUGCAAUGUAAUCGUAUCUAUUCUUUUUUAAAGACUUUAUGAUCCAUUUGCCGUGGGUCCCACCAGCUAUGUAGGAAUAUCCUAU
rnacentral:sRNA from 1 species